CUUCCCCCCUGCAUGAUUGCAUCAUUCAUUCAUGCUGCUGUUAUAAAACAGGCACCACGCCGUUGCUGCUGCUUGCAGGGCAGCACAGUCACAGCCCCAGCAGAAGAUACUCUUCAUUUUCUAUGCUAGAGAAACAUGGCAUGUGGUCCAGGAAAGAAACACAGGGAGUUCUGCCUGGAAACUUCCCAAGGAUGUUGAGGAGUGAAAAGCAAAGCCCACGUGGACGUGUGACUAUCGGCACAAGCACAGCAGCUGUAUUAAUAAUUCCCCUCACCUGAAGCUGCUUGGGGAACAGCCACAUCACAUCAUGCGUGUUGAGGACGGAUAAUUCCUGCAUUUCCACAGAACAUCACCUACGAGGGUCACAGAACAGCAGCGAGGAAAACUUAAUGAAAU